rnacentral:rRNA from 1 species
UAGAUACCCCGGUAGUCCUGGCCGUAAACGAUGAACACUAGGUGUCGGGGGAAUCGACCCCUCCGGUGUCGUAGCCAACGCGUUAAGUGUUCCGCCUGGGGAGUACGCACGCAAGUGUGAAACUCAAAGGAAUUGACGGGGGCCCGCACAAGCGGUGGAGUAUGUGGUUUAAUUCGAUGCAACGCGAAGAACCUUACCAGGGUUUGACAUCCUGUGAAUCUCUUGGAAACUUGAGAGUGCCUUCGGGAACGCAGUGACAGGUGGUGCAUGGCCGCCGUCAG